UACGAAGGGUGCAAGCGUUACUCGGAAUUACUGGGCGUAAAGCGUGCGUAGGCGGUUUGUUAAGUCUGUUGUGAAAUCCCCGGGCUCAACCUGGGAAUGGCAAUGGAUACUGGCAGGCUAGAGUGUGUCAGAGGAUGGUGGAAUUCCCGGUGUAGCGGUGAAAUGCGUAGAGAUCGGGAGGAACAUCAGUGGCGAAGGCGGCCAUCUGGGACAACACUGACGCUGAGGCACGAAAGCGUGGGGAGCAAACAGG
rnacentral:rRNA from 1 species